AUACGGAGGGGACUAGCGUUGUUCGGAAUUACUGGGCGUAAAGCGUACGUAGGCGGAUCAGAAAGUAUGGGGUGAAAUCCCAGGGCUCAACCCUGGAACUGCCUCAUAAACUCCUGGUCUUGAGUUCGAGAGAGGUGAGUGGAAUUCCGAGUGUAGAGGUGAAAUUCGUAGAUAUUCGGAGGAACACCAGUGGCGAAGGCGGCUCACUGGCUCGAUACUGACGCUGAGGUACGAAAGUGUGGGGAGCAAACAGGAUUAGAUACCCGGGUAGUCC
rnacentral:rRNA from 1 species